UACGUAGGGUGCAAGCGUUGUCCGGAAUUAUUGGGCGUAAAGAGCUCGUAGGCGGUUUGUCGCGUCUGCUGUGAAAACUCAGGGCUUAACCCUGAGCCUGCAGUGGGUACGGGCAGACUAGAGUGUGGUAGGGGAGAUCGGAAUUCCUGGUGUAGCGGUGGAAUGCGCAGAUAUCAGGAGGAACACCGGUGGCGAAGGCGGGUCUCUGGGCCAAAACUGACGCUGAGGAGCGAAAGCGUGGGGAGCGAACAGG
rnacentral:rRNA from 1 species